GCGUCGGUGUCGACGGGUAGGCCCCGAAUU
rnacentral:sRNA from 1 species